rnacentral:lncRNA from 1 species
UUUGCUUAGACAACUUUUCAAAAUAGUAUUUUAUUUUUUUGAGUCAGUGGUAUAUUUAAAAACGAUCUAACAUAAGAGUAAAAAGAUUGUAGAUAGUAAAAAACAAAGGUGUGAUGACAAUAAAAAACGCUAGAGUAUAAAGUUAGUUUCUUUCCUCCCUCCCAACACCCCAUCCCAUCAUUGUCCAAUAUUUCUCAGAGCUUAAUAUCUGGAAAAAAAAAAAGCCUUUUUUUUUUUACACUUUCAGCCAUUAGAAAAUUAAAAAUAGAUGAGGCCUUCUUUGCAGGUACAUUAAUUCAUUAUUACAUGAAAAGCAGGCACCAUAAAAAUUAAAACAUUCUAAAAAUCAUCAUAUAUACAAACACUAUACAGAAUGAUGGCACAAGGACAAAGCAAUUCCAUUCAGUUCAUCCUAAUCCACAUGAAAUAUUACACAUUAAAGAAGAAAAGAGAAAGCUCUUCCCAUUCCUGUACUCACCUGCUAGGUUUGGAAUGACCAGGAGUCUCCUAUCUGCCUACUCUGGUUCUUUCCUAUGUGUCCAUCAGGAGCUAAAAGGCUUCCUUGCUCUACCCAUUGACCAACACCCAGGGGAAGGGCCAACUGAAUGAGAAUGGAAAUGACUAAUCACCAACGACUGAUUUUACAAAGCCCAUUGGCAAUCAGUUUAUUUGUGACUAAAGAGAAGGCACGUGCCUGACUUUUAGCCCUGGGCACAACUGUUAUUUGGGGAUAUCCCACGGCAGCUUCUUACUGGGAAGCCCACUCCAGCGUGCACUGAAUUCAAUGUGAAUAUCAUCAUCGAUUCCUAUAUACACUGAGAUUAGGUGCAAAAUACUCAGCUCAUUUUAAACUCCACAGCUACCUAAACGCUUUAGAGACAAAAUACUCAGCUUGCAUUUUAAUCCCCACAGCUGCCUAUGUGCCAGAAGUUAUUCAGAAGGGAGUAGGUUUAGGAAGAGGGGACUGUCAGUUGAUAAAAGCCUCCCAGUCUCAAGUAGACAACCAGAUUUCUUUCAAGUUAUGGGAGGGAAUAACCCCCAGAAAGAGGGGAGAUGUAGUGUUGUUUCCGACACGAAUGGGUUUCUUACAGAGUUAGAGUCAUUGCACUAAGUGUUAGAUACUGCACGCCUGAAUGAGGUAAACGUUAUAUACCAUAAAAUACUUAGGGAAAUGAAUUGUUACAGCUUUAUCUUUGGAAAUAAAACCACCCGCUUCCUUCUUCAC